UCUCUGGAUAACUAUGUAGACACAAACGUGUCAGAGCACAUCAGGCUGAGAACACAGAGGGAAAUGCAUUUGGAGCCUUUCGUGUCCAGGGCCUCACUCCGCCACUGUGACGCCGGUGGCUGAUUCUCCUCCGACCACGUGAGUCAGCGUGCACCUGGCGGGUGAGGCUGGGCAGCCUAGGGAGGAGCAGCCAGUGAGAGGACCCAGAGCUCACAAGGCAGCAGCACGGGGCUACCCUGCAAAGCUCAUCUUGGACUCUACCCAGCCACGCUCCUGUAGGAACCCAAGAGAACUGGAGGUGUCUAUAAGGUGUUGUCAUCUAGACGUAGCUGGGGACAGAGAACAGGAGCAGUCACAGAGCUGUAAAGCUGCUGCUUCAACACAGCUGUUUUCUUCCACCCUACCACCUGCUCGCUCUUGAAUUCUCUCCUGGGUAAAGCCAAGGCCCUUCUAAGGCUAAGGCCUAAUUUGAGGCUCGCCUGUCCUGCACCACCAGGAAAAUCAGGGACCAAUGGCAGGGUCUCUCUGGGUGCAGCCAUCCUCAAGCCUUCGCCCUACUCUCUGCCCUCCUGCUC